CCCGGGAUAGCCCAGGGAAACCUGGAUUAAUACCGGAUGAGACGGGACCCGCGAUGGCGGGACCCGGGAAAGGCGCUGCGGCGCCGCCGGGGGAUGAGUCUGCGUCCCAUUAGCUAGACGGCGGGGUAACGGCCCACCGUGGCGACGAUGGGUAGCCGGCCUGAGAGGGUGGACGGCCACAUUGGAACUGAGACACGGUCCAGACUCCUACGGGAGGCAGCAGCUAAGAAUCUUCCGCAAUGGGCGAAAGCCUGACGGAGCCGACGCCGCGUGAACGAAGAAGGCCGUGAGGUUGUAAAGUUCUUUUCGGGAGGGGAACAACCGUGGCAGGGAAUGGCCGCGGGAUGACGUGAAUCCCGGAAUAAGCCCCGGCUAACUACGUGCCAGCCGCAGC
rnacentral:rRNA from 1 species